AUUGAACGCUGGCGGCAUGCCUUACACAUGCAAGUCGAACGGCAGCACGGGUGCUUGCACCUGGUGGCGAGUGGCGAACGGGUGAGUAAUACAUCGGAACAUGUCCUGUAGUUGGGGAUAGCCCGGCGAAAGCCGGAUUAAUACCGCAUACGAUCCACGGAUGAAAGCGGGGGACCUUCGGGCCUCGCGCUUUAGGGUUGGCCGAUGGCUGAUUAGCUAGUUGGUGGGGUAAAGGCCUACCAAGGCGACGAUCAGUAGCUGGUCUGAGAGGACGACCAGCCACACUGGGACUGAGACACGGCCCAGACUCCUACGGGAGGCAGCAGUGGGGAAUAUUGGACAAUGGGCGAAAGCCUGAUCCAGCAAUGCCGCGUGUGUGAAGAAGGCCUUCGGGUUGUAAAGCACUUUUGUCCGGAAAGAAAUCCUUGGCUCUAAUACAGUCGGGGGAUGACGGUACCGGAAGAAUAAGCACCGGCUAACUACGUG
rnacentral:rRNA from 1 species